rnacentral:lncRNA from 12 species
GAACUUUUUGUGCCAGUGACGGCUCUGGUUUCUGUCUCCGAAAGGGAUUCUGCCCUGCCCGAACCCCUCCGAGCUGUGGGUCGGGGGUCCAUCCCUCCGUCCUGCGCCUGCCGAAAGCUGGCGGACAGGAUGGGGAAGCCGUCUGCGACCAGCCUCACGGCACGGACAGGAGAGGAUUGCUUCAGCCUGGCCCUUCCAGAGCCUCCCGGGAGCAAGAAAACCGCGAGGAGAGCCCGUCAGGAAGACCGGUGUGACGCCGCAGAAGUAUCCGCUGUGCAGAUACAACCCCCGGAGAGCUCUACAUAGCUGAAAGAGAAACACGGUGAUUUUAUGUCUGCAUUGGUCAUACUACUAGCCGAAAGCAGAGACAUCCUCGGAUGAGGAGAAAUAAACACGGAUUUAUCCCUGAACAGACAAGUCAGAAGUUCACUAAAAUAUCUUCAUUUAGUGGCUUUCUGAGCCUCCCUGGCGAAGCUUCUAGGGCAAGUGUCAUUGCACGAUGAGGGUCCAACAUCUGAGGCGAGACCCUCGCUUGUGGUGAACUCCCACCACAUCGUGGUUUUUCUACAGUGCAUGGUGCAAAGCGGCCCUCAGGACAG